CAGUAGCCGCGGUAACACGUAGGGUGCGAGCGUUAAUCGGAAUUACUGGGCGUAAAGCGUGCGCAGGCGGUUCGUUAAGACAGAUGUGAAAUCCCCGGGCUUAACCUGGGAACUGCAUUUGUGACUGGCGAGCUAGAGUAUGGCAGAGGGGGGUGGAAUUCCACGUGUAGCAGUGAAAUGCGUAGAGAUGUGGAGGAACACCGAUGGCGAAGGCAGCCCCCUGGGCCAAUACUGACGCUCAUGCACGAAAGCGUGGGGAGCAAACAGGAUUAGAUACCCGUGUAGUCCCUGUCUCUUAUAC
rnacentral:rRNA from 1 species